CUUCAUUGCUCUAAACAGGCAGAGUAACUUUUUUAUUUUUUCCUUUAUUUCUAUUACUGUUUUGAGCUUAUUACUAAAAACUUUUCAAACACCACUAAGGAGAUACUCUUCCCCCUCCAAGUACAAAUUGAAGAACAUUAGGCAUCUGAACAGAAAGUAGUUUUUCAUCUAUUUGAUUUGCUGAACACUAUCAGUGAACUAAUUACUGAACAGUACAGAGACACUGCCCUUUCCCCAAAGAGUUUGCACGCUUAAAAUAUGAGAGUGAUAGAGGAAAUGGUUUCAUUUGCUGUAUAAACCUGUUUGUUGCAUCUGUAUUUGGUUUUAAACUUUUCUUUAUACAAUGCCUUAUACUGUGGUCUUGUAAAAAUUGACCUAUUAAGUGUUGUUAAAAAUUCUGUUUGUUUAAACAAAGCUACAUCAUUCUCAGUUUGUCUAACUACAGUAAUACAUUUGAUUUUAGAUGCUGAUGUGAGUGAAGACUCCUCUCCCCCACUACCAGAAAGAACACCAGAAUCAUUUGUAUUAGCAAGUGAACAGAAUGCACCUUUGACCAAGCCUGUUACAUUUUCACAAUCUGCUGAAAGGCGUAUACUGCAAGAUCAGAAUCUUCCUGAACAAACAGAAUCUACAGGCUUGAAAACAGCUGGAUGUGUAAAACUUGAUAAUCUUGAAAUGGGCGACAAAACACCAGCUGAUCCUAUACCUCAGAUUCUUCUUUCCAGUUCCACUGAUAUAAGAGGUCAAAUUACAGAAAUUCCAGUAGAAAUCACAGAUAUUGGUUUUGGUAACCGUUGUGGAAAGCCAAGAGGACCAAGAGAGCCACCAUCAGAAUGGACAUGAUGAAAAAGAAAAUGGUCACUCUGGAAAAGUCAAGUGCCACUGAAAACUAAACAAACAGUAUUCCACUCUUUACUUUUUGGGGACUAACACACAACAGUGUAGUUAUAACUAUAGAAUGGUACACUUUUUACUUUACAUCCCACAUAAAACCUUAAAUAUUAUUCACAACAGUGGAUUCCAGUAUUACAACCUAACUUUUUGCUGGGGCCAUCUACCUGCCUUAUUACACCUAGGAGAAAGUAUUGCAUAUGGUUUAUUUUUGACUUCCAAGUAUUAUUGCCUUAAUGUCUUUUAACCCUGUUACACGCUGCUUGUAGACAUUUGUUAAUAUAGUGAUACUUUUGAGAAAUUGAGUUUAAGGACUACUUUUUGCUAACUUUUGAUUACCAUGUAUGCAUUAUUUUGUAUAUGUACAGGGCAAGUAGGAAUAUAAUUUGAUAAAGUUGCAAUCAUAAAAUAUUAACAGAAGAUGUAAGAAAUCUCUGCAUGUUCUAAAUUCGUGUGUAUCUUAUUUGUAAAUUAUUUGCCCUGAAAUUUUAGAAAACCGUUUCUGAUUUAAAAACAAAAAAAUUCUUGACAUACAGCCAGAAUUGCAGGUUUGCAGAGAGAAAGAUUGUAAUACGUUUUGUAAAUUGUAAGCAAAAGGUUAUUUUUAUAUUAUAUACUGUUGGUCAGACCUAAUUUGUUCUGGUUUUCAUCUAGUCAUGGAGAUUCAGUAAGUGCCUUGGAACAAUAUUGAAUUCUCUUAGCCUAUGUAUGUUGCUUCAGUGUUUGAGUUCAUCUGGGUUUAGAAAUUUAUAAAAACAAAAAAAAAUUUAUCUGACCUGCCAGUAAAAUAGAACUCAUUCUAAGUAACCAACACUCGUUAGUUUUCAUUUUAAUAUUUCAUAAGUUUCAAUUUAUAGAGAUGAAUUUCCUAAAAACUUCCUACAUAAUAACUGGUUUAAUGCUACAGUAUAAUAUGGUGUGUAUUUCUACUUUUGUACAAACAUUUCAGGACACACUGGUAAAGGGACUAUUUGAGAGCCAUUAUUUUCCAUUGUGCUGGUAAAAGUAGUAUUUUGAUCAUUCAGCAAGUGUGUGUAUGUGUGAAAGCAACUUAUCAUACGAAGAUUCACAUAGAACCCUUGCAGCUACACUGUAUCUUGGCAGCAUACCAUGCCAAGGAUUAAUCCUUAUAAGGAUUCUCUACUUAUAAACUUUGUUUCUGUAAUAAUGAUAGACUCUUUAAAUUAAAGAAAGUACCUCAAAAUUUCA